rnacentral:rRNA from 1 species
UACGGAGGAUGCAAGCGUUAUCCGGAUUCAUUGGGUUUAAAGGGUGCGUAGGCGGAUAUUUAAGUCAGUGGUGAAAUCUUGCGGCUCAACCGUAACAUUGCCAUUGAUACUGAAUGUCUUGAAUGCAGUUGAGGUAGGCGGAAUGUGUAAUGUAGCGGUGAAAUGCUUAGAUAUUACACAGAACACCGAUUGCGAAGGCAGCUUGCUAAACUGUGAUUGACGCUGAUGCACGAAAGCGUGGGGAUCAAAC